rnacentral:RNase_P_RNA from 1 species
AGGUAAGGGUGAAACGGCGGGGUAAGAGCCCACCGCGGUGAUGGCGACAUCAACGGCACGGUAAGCGUCGUCCGGAGCAAGACCAAAUAGGGAGACGCCCGCGGGCUCGUAGAGCUCAGCGGAAAGGCUGGCCCGGCCGAAGUCUCCGGGUAGGUUGCUUGAGGCUUGAGGUAACUCGAGUCCCAGAGAAAUGAUCACCCCCGGGUGAGCGCAAGCUUCACGCGGGACAGAAUCCGGCUUAUAGGGUUUCUCCAACG